UAAUACGUAAGGACCGAGCGUUGUCCGGAAUCAUUGGGCGUAAAGGGUACGUAGGCGGUUAGAAAAGUUAGAAGUGAAAGGCUAUAGCUCAACUAUAGUAAGCUUUUAAAACUGUUUAACUUGAGAGAUGGAAGGGAAAGUGGAAUUCCUAGUGUAGCGGUGAAAUGCGCAGAUAUUAGGAGGAAUACCGGUGGCGAAGGCGACUUUCUGGCCAUUAUCUGACGCUGAGGUACGAAAGCGUGGGUAGCAAACAGGA
rnacentral:rRNA from 1 species